rnacentral:rRNA from 1 species
UACGAAGGGGGCUAGCGUUGCUCGGAAUCACUGGGCGUAAAGGGUGCGUAGGUGGCGCGGUAAGUCGGGUGUGAAAUUUCGGAGCUUAACUCCGAAACUGCAUUCGAUACUGCCGAGCUUGAGGACUGGAGAGGAGACUGGAAUUUACGGUGUAGCAGUGAAAUGCGUAGAUAUCGUAAGGAAGACCAGUGGCGAAGGCGGGUCUCUGGACAGUUCCUGACACUGAGGCACGAAGGCCAGGGGAGCAAACGGG